rnacentral:rRNA from 1 species
GUAGGUGGCAAGCGUUGUCCGGAAUUAUUGGGCGUAAAGCGCGCGCAGGCGGUCCUUUGAGUCUGAUGUGAAAGCCCACGGGCUCAACCGUGGAGGGUCAUUGGAAACUGGGGGACUUGAGUACAGAAGAGGAAAGCGGAAUUCCAAGUGUAGCGGUGAAAUGCGUAGAGAUUUGGAGGAACACCAGUGGCGAAGGCGGCUUUCUGGUCUGUAACUGACGCUGAGGCGCGAAAGCGUGGGGAGCAAACAGGAUUAGAUACCCUGGUAGUCCACGCCGUAAACGAUGAGUGCUGAGUGUUAGGGGGUUUCCGCCCCUUAGUGCUGCAGCUAACGCAUUAAGCACUCCGCCUGGGGAGUACGGCCGCAAGGCUG